AACGAACGCUGGCGGCGUGGAUUAGGCAUGCAAGUCGAACGGACACUUAGCUUUUUCGAGUGUUAGUGGCGAAAGGGUGAGUAACACGUGGGUUACCUGCCCUAGGGUUCGGGAUAACUUGUCGAAAGACGGGCUAAUACCGGAUACGUUCUUAUUCUUUAACUGGAGUAAGAGGAAAGAUGGGGACCUCGCAAGAGGCCUGUCACCCUUGGUUGGGCCCGCGGCCUAUCAGCUAGUUGGUGAGGUAAUGGCCACCAAGGCUAAGACGGGUAGCUGGUCUGAGAGGAUGGUCAGCCACACUGGGACUGAGACACUGCCCAGACUCCUACGGGAGGCUGCAGUCGAGAAUCUUUCGCAAUGGGGGAAACCCUGACGGAGCGACGCCGCGUGUAGGAUGAA
rnacentral:rRNA from 1 species